AUGGCCAUAUAGCGUUGAAACAUUUGUUCCCGUACGAUCACUAAAGUUAAGCAAUGUCAGGCAGGUUAGUACCUAGAUGGGUUUCCGCUUGGGAAUACCAGCUGU